UACGUAGGUGGCGAGCGUUGUCCGGAAUUACUGGGUGUAAAGCGCGUGUAGGCGGGAGGCCAAGUCUGCGGUGAAAUCGCUCGGCUCAACUGGGCGGGGUCCGUGGAAACUGGUCACCUGGAGGACGGUAGAGGCGAGUGGAAUUCCCGGUGUAGUGGUGAAAUGCGUAGAGAUCGGGAGGAACACCAGUGGCGAAGGCGAGUCCCUGGACAUCUCCUGACACUGAGGCACGAAAGCUAGGGGAGCAAACAGG
rnacentral:rRNA from 1 species